UACGGGGGAGCAAGCGUUGUUCGGAUUUACUGGCGUAAAGGGCGCGUAGGCGGUCGUGACAAGUCACUUGUGAAAUCUCCGGGCUUAACUCGGAACGGUCAAGUGAUACUGUCGGACUAGAGUACAGAAGGGGCAACUGGAAUUCUCGGUGUAGCGGUGAAAUGCGUAGAUAUCGAGAGGAACACCUGCGGCGAAGGCGGGUUGCUGGGCUGAUACUGACGCUGAGGCGCGAAAGCCAGGGGAGGCGAACGGG
rnacentral:rRNA from 1 species